UACGGGGGGGGCAAGCGUUGUUCGGAAUUACUGGGCGUAAAGGGCUCGUAGGUGGCCAACUAAGUCAGACGUGAAAUCCCUCGGCUUAACCGGGGAACUGCGUCUGAUACUGGAUGGCUGGAGAUUGGGAGAGGGAUGCGGAAUUCCAGGUGUAGCGGUGAAAUGCGUAGAGAUCAGGAAGAACAUCGGUGGCGAAGGCGCUCUGCUGGACCAUAACUGACACUCAGGGACGAAAGCUAGGGGAGCGAAUGGG
rnacentral:rRNA from 1 species